GGUCGGUCCAGAGUUUCUCACCUA
rnacentral:siRNA from 1 species